UUGAGUGCCACGUUUAUCAUUUUAUUACAUGAUUUAACAAGUUGAAUCAAAUGUUUUCAGCUCUGGUUUUUCUUAUGUUUCUUUUCUGUUGCUGAACAUGUGGAAGAUGCUCUCUUAGCCUCAGAAACCUUUACAAGAGCUAAACUGAAAAAGAAAAAUAUUUACAGUAUGAUUCUGUAGAUAAUGUCUGAGGGUGCAUUAUGUGUUUAACCCACUGAGACAUAAGCAUUGCUUGAAAAUAGACUGCUAAAAUCUGAGCAUUUUUUUAAAGAUAAAAAAUAUCUAAAUGUUACUUGGUCUUAAAGGUAAAAACGUCAACCUUGAUUUUUAAAGUAAAAGCAUAUAAACAUGUCACUUGGAUUUUAUACAUAAAAACACACAAACUUCCUUGGGUUUUAUGUAAAAACAUGGUAACUUUGCUCUGGAUUUGAGGUAAAGAUGAGCAAACAUCCUACUCACUAUUACAACCAAAAAUGCACAAACAUUACACUAAUUUUUAAUGAUAGAACACACAAGUAUCACAUGCU